CCCUUAGAUGUUCUGGGCCGCACGCGCGCUACACUGAUUCAUGCAACAAGUUUUGUCCUUGGCUGAUAGGCCUGGGUAAUCUUUGAACGUGAAUCGUGAUGGGGAUAGAUGAUUGCAAUUAUUCAUCUUCAACGAGGAAUUCCUAGUAAACGCAAGUCAUCAGCUUGCAUUGAUUACGUCCCUGCCCUUUGUACACACCGCCCGUCGCACCUACCGAUUGAAUGGUCCGGUGAAAUCUUCGGAUCUGAGAGAUGUCUGAUUAAUUUCGGACGCCUUUUGGAAAAGUUGCUUAAACCUUACCAUUUAGAGGAAGGUGAAGUCGUGACA
rnacentral:rRNA from 1 species